CAACUUCUGGGCAAGGCAGAGGUGGGUUUGGCUUUUUAAAAAUCUUUUCAGCCUGUCCUCAUGGAACUACAUAUUCUUUUCUAAGAACCUUUCAUCCUAACCUCCCUACUCACAUCUUCUAAGUGUCUCUGCUCUGGUGGGAAUGUGAUGGACAACACAGAGCCAUCUCAGAAGCCUCUGUGGCCACCACCAGGCUGGCCAGGGUACAGGGGGCCACUCCCUGGGCAGCCAUAGGGUUCUCAGCAAGGUGCAUUCGUCGUCCCUGCUGAGAAUCUGAUGGUGCGGCAUUUUUUUUUUUUUUUAAUUAAAUGCAAGCUGAGUCAUUUCAACCUGCAACCUUCAGGUAACAGGAGUUACCCAAGCUCCAGGAAUUAUGAUUGUGGGGUAAACCCAUUCUCUUGUUUUCUUGCGGUUCUAUUUUAUAACGCACUAGAGGAGACAGAGACGUCAUCGCUUCACCCAGGGCAAGAGGACAAAGGAGGAUGCAUGGAAAUACAAACAGCCCUUCUCCUCCAGGCCAUACCGACUGUCCAACUAGCAAUAGACUUCACCUGGUUUUGGAGCAAUCUGAAUUUGGAAUCUGCCAGAGAAAACUUCUAUCAGGCAAGAUGGAAGACUUCUAGGAUAGGUCCCUCUGAUGGAGGGGUUGGCAUGAUGGUAAGAAUCCAGUGGAUGGAAAAGGCCUCCUCCUCAAAGAUGGUGAUGGAAAUGAGCACUGCACAAGGAAACACAAAUCAGGUCCCCUGAAAUCCAGCCCAACCUGGCUAGACCCUCCAGUGCCUGUCAAGGCUUAUGAACAGGUUGCUUCAGUGUCUUUGUUAGGGGGUGGUUAAAAAGGAGUACAUGCUUACAGGGUAUGCUGCUGAGCUCCAUGAUUUUGACUUCAUGUCUAACCUGUUGAUGCUACAAAACUCUUUUAAAAACAGUUACCAUGGGAACUUUUCCCUAGCAAGCAUUUUUCAAGAAACAUUACAGGUGCUGGUGAAUUCAAUGCCCUUGGUGUCAAUAAGCUUUUGCUGAGUCUUAGAAUGUGUGGCUUGAACUGAGAGGACUUUCAAACAUAUAAUGCCAAGUUUCCAAUGCAAAUGUCUUCACGGUUAAGUGUCAGUGAAAUGCAGUGGAAGGUAGGGGGGAUAAAAUGACCUCAGUGUAUAUGGAGGCCCCACUUAAGCAUUCAAAAAAUUCUGUAUACAGUGUUUUCAAUGUAUUAUGUAUCAGCAAAACAAAAUAUCCCAUAGGGCUAUAAUCAGCUCAGGGGGUUACCUCAACAAGAGAUACUCUGGCUGUCACUCCUACUCCGGGAUUUCCUCUCUCAUCAGAACCAGUAGGUGGUCAAAACCACAAUAAUGCAUAAAUUAAGGCAGGGAAUUGGAUAUCCAAUGUGAGCAAUUGAAAAGCUGCCAUGUAUUAGCUAUUUGCCAUUACGGUACUGCAAGUGCUCAGAUGACUCAUAAAAUGACCAGAACAAAA
rnacentral:lncRNA from 1 species